rnacentral:lncRNA from 1 species
CUCCCAGGGCGGGGUGGGGUCGAGGGUGUUGCGAGCUGCAGGAAGUCGCGGACCGGGAAAACUGGGAAGCGCGAGAUCUGCAGAGACCGGAGCCACUGGGCAGCAGAAGGAGGCGGACAGCCUACUCCUGCCCCUCGGCCGGACGACCCGCGGCUGCCGCGCCCAGCACCUCUGCACCUGCCUGGCUGAGCCCAGCUGAAGCGAGGCAAAGCAGAGGGGCUGCGGUACCUCUCCAGAGGGCCCUGCUCUGGCUCCCCAGGCCCGAGUUCCUCAUGGUGGAUUCAGCCGAGGCCGAAGGUUCGCUUCCUGAGAAGCCUGCGGGACGCGGGCUGCCUCACAGCGCAGGCUGCAGGCUAAGGACCGGCUGCUGCCGCGCUGCUCCGCGCGCAGGGAAAGUGGAGCUGGGCCUGGAUGGGAGGAAGGAUUUCCUCGCCUCUUGGGCGCGGCCGCUCCGGCAGGGCCACACAAGUCCCCCUUUGUGGAGGGCCCUGCUCCUGCGCACACCGAAGUCAGCGAACAAUAGCGCAAUGUUGCCGCCGUUGGCCCCGCUCUCCCGGCCACACCGCGGCGGCAGAAGGCGAGGAAACCGGGUGGCGCUUUUUUAUAGCCACAAAUAUAAAAUCGGGGCUUCCCCCCCUUUCACUCGCCUCUUGCCCCAACGCCGAUAGAAAGCAGAUAAAUUUAUGAAGGGCGAGCUAAGAGAAUAAUUACAGGGUGACGGCCGUUAAAUUUUAUUUCCAGUCCCAAAGGCAAAACCUGUGAUUUUAUUGCAAACAUCUGGAAAGACCGAGAGGUGGGCAUGCUGCUGGUUUAAAAUAAAAAUAGAAGAUUUUUAUUUCUCGAAAACAAAAACCAUCAUGAAAGACCUUUUGCCCCCACGGUCUUUUAUUUUUAAAAAGUGUGAGGGGGGUGGUAGAAUAGACAAGGAUGCACGCGGCCCGAAAGCCCACUGGGACCCUCGAGAGGCGCUCUGCUGCACCUCGGGCCGGCCGCUUGGUCUCCUGAACCGACUUUAGGCGGGCGUCUCCAGAAAUCUGCUCCUUCCCCUACGCCGCCUCGGACCACUCACGCAGCCCCUUGCGUGCUCUCCUGUUGCUUUGGGAUGCCAGUUUGGGAAAAGAAGUGAAAAGUGGGAAUGCGGGCUUCAUAUUCCCGAAAGAUUCCA